UCAAAAAACAAAAAUAUUAAGAAAAAGGGUCACUGAAGGGAUUUGAUCCAGGGUUUGUGGGUUUAGUACCAAGCUUCCUAACCAAAUACGCUAGCGUCAAAUAACAAUUUAGCUUGCAAAAUUAUGUUUAUCAUAUAUCUGUGGUGUCAAAUGACCCCAUAACUCUUAACGUGGUUCCGCCACUGCCUAUAUGAUAGUAUUAAAUGUCUUGACCUCUUUUAUAUUGUAGUUUCAAAGUAUCAGCUCGGCAUGGACCGUCUCUUGAGCUCGUCAUGGACCGUCUCUUGCGCUCGGCAUGGGCCAUGGAACUUGGUGGGCCCAUUGUCGCCUUAUGGGCUUCAAGGACACUCGUUCGGGUUAUCGGAACACUAAUACAAGAAGUCUCACUACAAAAAAGGGCAUAUUGUUACAAAAAUUUGAGACCAAAACUUUUGGUCACAUAUUUGUGACUAAAUACACACUAAUUUGUGACUAAUAUUAUAUGUCAAGAAAAAGUUGGUAAUUGGUAACAAUAUUGUGACCGGUUUUAUCGUAGCCAACUUUUGUCACAUUUAGUGACAUAAAAAUGACGAAAAUAAACGAGACAAAAUAUGUGACAUAAUUGUGACUAUAUUUAUUGUUAUCAUAGUGACUGAUAUAUGACUAAAUCAUAUGUCUCCAUUUAUAACGAUAGAGAAAUUAAAUGUUCGUGGCAAAUUCAUAUAAAAGAAGGCAACAAAAAUAUUUCUAGACCCCAAAUGAAUUUUUAAACCCUUUCUCUUAACACAAAUCUCAAAACUCUAAUAUUUUCAUAUUUUAACCCCACAUCUUAAAUUUAAAUAUAAAAUUUAGUAUUUUCAAAACCUUUUCUCAUAUUCUGAAAGUAAACCUCAGACACCCAACCCGUAAGUCACAAAAAAUAAACCUUAACCUUUACAUAAAGUUUCAAAAUUACUAUAAUACACCUAAACUAAUAUCCAAUAUUUAUAAAAAAAAUUAUUUUUUUCAAAUCUUAUUUAAAAACCUUAACUUGGUAUUUAAAUUUAAAGUCCAAACCCUUUUCUUCAAACUCCAAACCCUAUAUCAUAAAUUUUAUCUCUAAAUUUGUUUAUUCUUUUUUAGAACUAUACAGAUGUGUACUUUAAAUGAAUUAACUUAGAAUUCUAAUGAAACUUAUAAUAAACAUUAAAAAUUAAAGAAAGAUCAGAAACAAAAACUUCUAUUGUAAGUUUCAGAAAAAAAACAAAUUCUAUCGUUGUAUAGAAGAGAUGUAAUCAACAAUUCUACUGCUGUACAACCAAAUAAAACUUGCCCCGUCAAAAAAAAGCAAAUUUUCUAUUGGCUAAUUCAUAAGCACAAGAACCAAGUUUUUGACCGUCGGAUGAGACCAAAUCAAUGGACCAAAGUUAUUAAUUUUUCACAUCUGCAUAUCUUUUUUUUUACCAAACAGAUCUGCAUAUCUCUCGACAGAUUCUCUUAUUUGAUUUCAUCUCCUAAUCUCUUAAUUCUUAAGAUUUCUUCACUGCGAGCCUCUUCAUUCUCUUAACAAUCUCUGCUCCCAUAUCUCUUCAGCUUCGCUACCGUCUCUGUCAAUGGUCGUUCUUUGAUUUUGGUCCAUGUUAAAGAAUCGAAGGAGUGAAGGAGAACCAGAGGAGGAAGGAGAGAGAAGAGAAGGAAGAAAAUGAGAAGGAUGAACCAGCAUGAGAGGUGCAGACAUGAAGGUGUUCCGGUGUACCGUCACAGCGUCCGUUGUCGCUCCGGCAUGACUGUUCAGAUUAUUUAAGAAGAAAGACGAGGAAGAAGAAGAGUAGGAGGAGACGUAAGAAGAGCGGUUUCUCCUGAUGUCUACUUGUUCACUGCAGUGAUUAACGCAUUUUGCAAGGGAGGGAUGGAAUGAGGAUGAGUGGGAGGUAUGAUGAGGCAUUUAUGUGUAAGGAGCUAUGGCUUUGGAGACAAAGCGUUGAGUUGCUGAGAAGAUGCAUGCUAAUCAAUUAGGUUUAGUUUUUUUUUUUUAAUUUGGUUUAGUUUUAUAAACCAGUUUUAA